rnacentral:lncRNA from 1 species
GCAGCCUGUUGGAUUUAACAAGGCCACAGUGUCUGUUCCUCCUCCUCCUUUUAGACAGAGAGUCAAUUUUGACCAACAGAGAGUCAAUUUUGACCAAGCGAGGGGACCUUUAUUUUGUAGGUACUGUAAAAAAUCUGGACACUUAAUUGAUAAGUGCUUCAAGAUCCAUUGGUAUCCGCAAAGUACCACCUUUAACAAGGGAAGGAGGCCUGCUGCUGCUCAUCUGAGUACUGGUCUGGAUUCUCCUAUUUCU